rnacentral:lncRNA from 1 species
UGCCACAGCAACAGCAACUUGGGAUCUAAGCCGUGUCUGUGACCUACACCAUAGCUCACAGCAACACCAGAUACUUAACCCACUGAGUGAGGCCAGGGACCAAACCUGCAUCCUCAUGGGUACUAGCUGGGUUCGCUACCACUGAGCCACAAUAGGACCUCCUGAACUCUUUAUAUAUAUACCAGGGACUUCUACGGAUUUGAUAUAAAUUUUCCAAUUUAAUAAUAACCAUAGAGCUCAUGUAGAUACUAUUGUUAUCACCCUUUUAGAAAUGAGAAGACUAAGGCUUACAGUUGCACAAGUAAAUUAAUGAGGCUUAAAUAUAGAUACACUGAUUCAGAACCUGUACUCAACCACUGUGAUAUAACACUGUAUGGUUUUUUGUUAGUGGUAUGUUUUUCAGUUUUAUUUACCCAAAAGGAAAAACUAUUAAAACUGAAUGUAGGCUUUUCAUUUGAGGUAAAUAUCUAGAUGGACCUUUUUGAUUGAGAAAAGUCAGCUCCCUGGGUUUAGCCUAAGUGGGCCAAGAGGAUACAAAGAGAGAUCAGUUACUCUGAAUAAUAAGAUGAAAGAAAUCUGAAUUUUCAUUGGAUGCCCUAGAAAAAGAGAAUGAGGCUUAGGAAAGAAAGAAGUGGAGAGAGGUUGGUGAAAAGAACUGAGAUGGGAUACAUGCCAGAAACAUGGCAGGAGGCAGGGCCCUACUGGAGGACAUGGCUGGUGAGAAGUUUCCUGAGAGAGUAGAGAAUGGCUGUCACAGUUCUAUAAGCAGUCAUGUGAGCAAUGAAUUGGAAGUUUUCUGCUUUGUGCCAUAGCUUUCCAUUAACCCUAAAUCUUUUAUGCAGUUUGGAUACAUCCAAUUAUAUUGGUGGUGGACCAUUUGGAAGAAUGAAGGAUGAGAAGUGGUACAUCAAUGGGCACAAGGGCCAUAGCUAAAGAAACAGGAGACAGCAGACAAGCAGACUGCAACAGGGUCUGACCCAGGAGAUACAGAAGCAACCUCAGUUACUCUUACAGAAACUGAGGUAUCAGGGAGUUCCCAUUGUGGCUCAGCGGGUUAAGAACCUGACUGGUAUCCAUGAGGAUGCAGAUUCCAUCCCUGGCCUCGCUCAGUGGGUUAAAGGAACUGGCACUGCCAUGAGCAGUGGUGUAGGUUGCAGAUGCGGCUUGAUCUAGUGUGGAUGUGGCUGUGGCUGUGGCGUAGGCCAGUAGCUGCAGCUCUGAUUUGACCCCUAGCCUGAGAACUUCCAUGUGCUGCAAGUGUGGCCCUAAAAAGACAAAAAAAAAAAAAAAAAAAAAAAAAAAAAGAAGAAGAAGAAGAAAUUGAGGUCUCUGGACUGACCACAGUGGUUGGAAACAGGGCUCAGGGAAGCAUGAAAUUGUUCAUAGUUGUCCAGAUUGGAAACUUGGUUAUAUUCAAAUGAGAAAGAACUUUUGCUGAGCCAUAGUAAAAGAAAUUUGGUUUAUUAGCAGCAUUUGUCAAUUUCCUCCUUGCCGUAUGGUAAUUGGCUUCCAGAACACCAAACUCUUUCAGGUUUCCUCCUCCUUUAUCAGGCACUCAUCAGUUUCCUUUGCUAGUUCCUCCUUUUCUUCCUGAACUCUUAAUGACAGUGUGCCACAGAGUUCAGUGCUCCAUACUUUCCUCUGUCAACAGACACAGUUGCUUGGUGAUCUCACCCAGUUUCAUGCUUUUAAAUACCAUGCCUGUGUUGACAGUUCCCAAAUUUAUAUUUCCCAGACUUCUCUCCUCAAUUCCAAAGCCACAUAUCUCUUGCCCACUCAACAUACCCACUUGGAUAUCUAAAACUCAUCCCAAACUUGUACAUUUCUGAUCUUCCUUCCAAAAAUGACACCACUCAUGGCUUUCUCCAUCUCAGUUGGUGGCAACUCUAUCCAUCCUGUCAAGCCAGAAAACAUGAGUCAUCCUUUAUGACUUUUUCUGUUAUCCUCCAUCUCUAAUUUGACAGGAAAUUCUGUUGUUUUUACCAUCAGAAUAUAUCCAGAAUCUGCCCAUCUCCACCAUUUCUGCUUCUAACACCUACAUCAGAACCACUGUCAUCUCUCAACAUGAUCGUCGCGAAAGUCUCCUAACUGACCUCCCUGCUUCCACCUUUCCCUCCCUCAUAGCUAACAGUGAUCCUUUUAAAGCCUACAUAAUAAAAGUUUAUUAUUCACUCUUUUGUUCUCAUUUCAUUCAUAAUGAAAGCCAAAGUUCUUACAAUAGUCUUAACUGAUUUUCACUGAUUGCUGCUUUAGACAGAGACAUAGCUCUUCAUCGCAAGGCCAGGCUUUAUCUAUCCACUCUACCAAUGGCCAAAAACUCAGUGUUUGAAGGGCGAAUGCAAACCUAGUAAAACUACAGAUCAGUUGCUUCUCUGCCUGCAGACAGAUGGAGCAUUCCUUAUUCAAAGUGGCCGUUAAGUAAGAUGUGACUUAGAGGGUGAGGGGUAGAGAGAGAAAUCCUGAUAUCAGCCACUUUCUUGCUAAUGAGUUGAGAAAACAUUAUCUGUAGCUUUGGAGUAUCCUCUAGAGGUUUCUAAUAUGCAGAAUGAUCUACUUCUGAAGUCUCUUUUUUCUAGGCCGUUAAGUUCUUUGGCAUUAAUGAUGAAUUUCCUAUGGCAAAGAAAGCAUUUUGACUUUUGUCAGCUGUUUUAAACAUCAAUAGAUUGAUGCAGUUGGUUGAAACUACCUGCCAACAUUCUGAGGCCCAAGCCCUUACCUCCUGCCUUCUAGACAGGCAACUUUGCUCCCCAGGGGACAUCUGGCAAAAUCUGGAGAUGUUUUUGGUUGUCACAAGUGGGGUAGGGAGGUGCUACUGGCAUCAGGUGGGCAGAGGCCAAGAAUGUGGCUAAGCACCCUGCAAUGCCCAGGAUAGCCCCCCUCUAACAAAGAGUUAUGCUGUCCAAACGUCAGUAGUGCUAAGGUUGAGAAAUCAUGAUCUAGACUGUUCUGGUGGGCUUUUACUCUACCUCAUGCCCCACUGCCAAACCUACAAUCCUAAACCAUCACAUUUUUCCAUCACUCUUGAGCUCCAGCCUGAAAGAUGGAGUCUCCUUCCCACCCUGGCAUUUAGAUCCUGAGGGAUUUUGAUUACUUCUGUAUCCAUUCCUCAGGACGAACUCUGCUUCUUGUAAGGUUUCAUCAGCACCAUACUCCCUCUGCACUACCAUGCUUCUACUGAUGUUACCCACCCCCCAAACACAUCCUGUGAGGUUCCUCCCUCAUCUCUCCUCUGAUCCAAAUCUUACUCAUCUUUUGGAGCCCACACAUGUGGCACACCCCUCUGCCACUGAGUCAGUCUGUACCACUCCCUUUUGUACUUAUCAGGGCUCACAUGUCUUACACUGUUACAUAGCUAUUCCCCCUAUCCUGUCUCCUCAAAAAACCCUUUGAAGGGAUCCAUAUUGUAUUUCUGUUCUAUCAGUCUCCGUUCCCACAGCAUAAGGUUUGAAAACUGUAUUGUUGUACUGUAUUGUUUGACUUGUAGUGAGAGUCAAAGGAGCAUAAAAAGCACCUGUAUAGGGCCCAGUACCCAGUGGGGUGCUCAGAAAAUGAUAGAAUCAUAGUAUCUAUCGAAGCAUACAUUCAGGAGUCCAUAGAAAGUGCUUAAUAAAUCUUUUAAAUGUAAUUACUGACUGGAGAGAGCAUGCAUUCAGGCUAGCCUGUAUUUGGAACCAACAGCAAAGAAAAACUUCCAUCAGAAAUCCUACACCCAUUAACACGCCUUCAUGCUAGAGUGAAUCCAGGAGCAGUGGGUGUCACAUUUUCCCAAAGAGGAGCCCAAGCCAACCUUUCUGCAUUUUAACAAGUUAAUGAACAGCUUGUGAGUAACACUUUGCCCACUCUGUCCCAAUUUAGAAGGCUGCCAAAAGGAUAAAAUGUCAAUAUGCCACUUUCUGCUUUGCUGGGGUGCCAGCUGCGUCCUGCUGAAGUGCUUUUGCCCUCAGCCACUGGAGAGUCUGAUGUCCUUAGAGAAUUCAGUACCAGUGGGAUGAGUCUGCAGUGAGGGCCCGGCCUUUCCUCAAACGGAAGAGAGCCUUGUCUCAGAUCCUGUGAGAAGUGAGUGGGGCAUGGUAUUCCGAGCAGCCCAGGGUUGGCUCUUGGCCAGGUACUGAGUGGCAAACAAGAAGGAACACAUUCCAGGAAGGCAAGGAGCCCUGCCAACGCCAAGGCAGCCUGGCCAGCAGGGCCUGCUGGGCGCCAGGUGCUCCUCAGCCCUGUGGAGGUCAGGCAUGCAGAGGAUGAACUCAGGUUUCUCUGGAUUAUCAUUUCAGAGGCUUAAACGCCUCUCUCUCUUCACUUUCAGUAGGCAAAGCAUAUGUUUAUUAAAUUUGAAUCCUCUUUGCUCUGGGGUCCAGCCCCUUAUCUUUAAAUGAAGGUGGGAAGAGAAAGAGUGAAAUCUUUAUUGUAAUUCUGUGCCCUAAUUAAGAAAAGAUGCUAUUGACAGUGAGGGCAAAGCAGGGGGAAAGCCUGGAGUUUGUGUGCCCUUGUUGGAAGCUGAGCUCUCCACUCUUCCCUAGGCCCCUCUACACCACACACACACGCACACACUUGUUCUUCACACCUGCCACUUCUGCCUUCUGAAUGACCUAACCUCAGAACAUCUGCAGAACCCUUGGGAAUGAAUGUUCGCCUCAGAAUCACCUCAGGCCUUUCCCCUAGGAUAUGAAAGAAAAGGAGAGAGAAGAGAAAGGACCAAAGUGGAAUGAUGAGAAAUGGCCACAGAAGCCUAGGAACCUGCCCAUCUUCCCUUUUGCCACUGCCUGGGACUGGAGAUUCAUUUGGGAAAGAAUGAAAUCUGUCCCUCACUGCCGUGUCCCCAGUUCCUGGUGUACUUUGCUGCCAUCUAGUGGCCCAGUGGUAUCUCAGCCUGUCAGAGCAAGAUGAACCUACAGAUCUGGCCUGUCCCAGCCUGAGGCUGAUAGGAGAGGCUUCUCUGAGAAGCUUCUCUGCCCUAGGAUGCUCUGAUUCUGCAGCCAAGCUUCUAGGAGAGCAGAAUAACAGGGUCACAACAUAACCCAGCUUGAUAUGUGUCCUAAUGCCAUGACCACCAGGUGGGAGGGCCAGGGCUGGCUGGCUGGCUAGUUGGGUCCUGGAAAUGGAGAUGCGGGCAGUUUCUUACUCCCAGAAUGUCUGGUGAGCAGCAGUUCUCUCAGAGCCCACCUCACUCAUAAAUGCCCUUUUUAUGAAAACUCCUGCCCCCUCCCACAACCCUUCCUCUUCUGACUAAAGCCCGUGUCACAGAACUGAGGCUCCUCCAUGAAAUGUAUGUAUCCCUCCAUCUUUCCAAAUGUAAAGCAGUUAUUUCUCCUUCAUAAAGUUAGCUCAACUUAAUAUGAUGAUGUGCCCUCUCUGUGGUGCAGGUGCUAUGAACAACUCCCUAGGAAUAGUGAUGUGGGGUGUAUGGCCACAUUCUUCUGCGUAUUAUAUUCACAUGUUUAUUUCCUCU